rnacentral:ncRNA from 2 species
AUGCGUACCGGUGAUGGGGCUCACCGAAACCGCGGCCGAUGGCCGCUGACGGUCCCUGGUUGUUU